AUUGAAAGCUGGCGGCAUGCCUUACACAUGCAAGUCGAACGGCAGCACGGGGCUACCUGGUGGCGAGUGGCGAACGGGUGAGUAAUGCAUCGGAACGUACCUUUCAGUGGGGGAUAACGUGGCGAAAGUUACGUUAAUCCCGCAUAUUCUGUGAGCAGGAAAGAAGGGGAUGGCAAGACUGUGCGCUGAUUGAGCGGCCGAUGUCAGAUUAGCUAGUUGGUGAGGUAAGUCUCACCAAGGCGACGAUCUGUAGCGGGUCUGAGAGGAUGAUCCGCCACACUGGAACUGAGACACGGUCCAGACUCCUACGGGAGGCAGCAGUGGGGAAUUUUGGACAAUGGGGGCAACCCUGAUCCAGCCAUGCCGCGUGAGUGAAGAAGGCCUUCGGGUUGUAAAGCUCUUUCGGCCGGGAAGAAAUCGCACGGGCUAAUACCCUGUGUGGAUGACGGUACCGGAAUAAGAAGCACCGGCUAACUACGUGCCAGCCGCCGCGGUAAGAC
rnacentral:rRNA from 1 species